rnacentral:rRNA from 1 species
GCUUGUCUCAAAGAUUAAGCCAUGCAUGUCUAAGUAUAGUACCUUAUACUGUGAAACUGCGAAUGGCUCAUUAUAUCAGUUAUAGUUUAUUUGAUGGUUCUUGCUACUUGGAUAACCGUAGUAAUUCUAGAGCUAAUACAUGCAUCAAACCCCGACUUUUUGGAAGGGGUGUAUUUAUUAGAUGGAAACCAAUGCGGGGCAACCCGGAUUAUGGUGAUUCAUAAUAACUUUCGGAUCGAUCUUCGGAUCGAUGCAUCAUUCAAGUUUCUGCCCUAUCAGCUUUGGAUGGUAGGGUAUUGGCCUACCAUGGCUUUAACGGGUAACGGAGAAUUAGGGUUCGAUUCCGGAGAGGGAGCCUGAGAAACGGCUACCACAUCCAAGGAAGGCAGCAGG